CCCUUAGAUGUUCUGGGCCGCACGCGUGCUACACUGAGUGGAUCAGCGGGUUAGGUUGCGCGAAAGUGUUUCCUAAUCUUGAAAUCCGCUCGUGAUGGGGAUUGACGGUUGCAAUUUUCCGUCAUGAACGAGGAAUACCUUGUAAGCGCGGGUCAUCAUCCCGCGCUGAAUACGUCCCUGCCCUUUGUACACACCGCCCGUCGCUCCUACCGAUUGAGUGGUCCGGUGAGGCUUUGGGAUCUGAGCGGAAAGAGCGUUUCGCUGUUUCUGCUCGGAAAACUCAGUCGAACCUUAUCAUUUAGAGGAAGGAGAAGUCGUAACA
rnacentral:rRNA from 1 species